rnacentral:rRNA from 1 species
GGAUAGGGGUGAAAGGCCAAUCAAACCCGGAGAUAUCUCGUUCUCCCCGAAAUAGCUUUAGGGCUAGCGUCGCGCGUUCACCGCCGGAGGUAGAGCACCGGAUGGACGAGGGGGCUUCGCCGCCUACCGAAUCCAACCGAACUCCGAAUGCCGGCGGCCCAGAGCGCGGCAGUCAGAGCAUGUGGGCUAAGCUGUGUGCUCGAGAGGGAAACAGCCCGGACCGCCCGCUAAGGUCCCCAAGUUCCAGCCGAGUGGCAAAGGAUGUGCGUCCGCCCAGACAACCAGGAUGUUGGCUUAGAAGCAGCCAUGCAUUCAAAGAGUGCGUAACAGCUCACUGGUCGAGUGGACAUGCGCCGACAAUACACGGGGCUAAGCUGGACACCGAAGCGGCGGGAUUUUGAUUUUCAGAAUCGGUAGGGGAGCUUCCCAUGGGCGGGGAAGCCGCCGGGCGACCGGCGGUGGAGCGCAUGGGAGUGAGAAUGCUGGCAUGAGUAGCGAGAGACGAGAGAGUAACUCGUCCGCCGUGAACCCGAGGUUUCCUGGGCAAGGCUAAUCCUCCCAGGGUCAGUCGGGGGCUAAGGCGAGGCCGGGAGGCGUAGCCGACGCGCAGCAGGCAGACAUUCCUGCACCGCGCACGCGGCGCUACGACCGACGGGGCGACGGAUGGGGGUGGCUCGGCGGGGUUCUGGACGUCCCCGUGAUGGAGCGCGGCCCGCGGACCAGGGAAAUCCGGUCCGCACGAGGGCGAGGCUCCGGACGAAGCACUUAAGCGAAGCGAGUGAGCCCGAGGUCCCUAGAAAAACCCCUAGGCAGGCGCGUGCGCGCCCGUACCGCAAACCGACACAGGUGGGUGGGUAGAACAUACCGAGGCGAUCGGGUCAACCAUGGUCAAGGAACUCGGCACAAUGGCCCCGUAACUUCGGGAGAAGGGGUGCCCGCGCGUACGUGAACCGGCUUGCCCGGGGAGCGGAGGCGGGCCGCAGUGGAGAGGCCCAAGCGACUGUUUACCAAAAACACAGGACUCUGCAGAAGCCGCAAGGCGACGUAUAGGGUCUGACGCCUGCCCGGUGCCGGAAGGUCACGCGGAGGAGUUAGCCGCAAGGCGAAGCCCCGAAGCCAAGCCCCGGUAAACGGCGGCCGUAACUAUAACGGUCCUAAGGUAGCGAAAUUCCUUGUCGGGUAAGUUCCGACCUGCACGAAAGGCGCAACGACUUGGGCGCUGUCUCGACCAUGGACCCGGUGAAAUUGCACUGGUCGUGAAGAUGCGACUUACCCGCGGAAGGACGGAAAGACCCCGUGAACCUUCACUGCAGCUUGGCAUUGGCCGCUGGUCCCGCGUGUAGAGGAUAGGCAGGAGGCACAGAUCCGGAGGCGCCAGCCCCCGGGGAGCCGCCCUUGGAAUACUGCCCUCGCGCGACCGGCGUCCUAACCCGAGGCCGUCGACCGGCUCGGGGACCGUGCCAGGCGGGCAGUUUGACUGGGGCGGUCGCCUCCUAAAGGGUAACGGAGGCGCGCGAAGGUCCGCUCGGGACGGUCGGCAACCGUCCUUUUGAAUGCAAGAGUACAAGCGGGCUUGACUGCGAGGCCCACAAGCCGAGCAGGUGCGAAAGCAGGCUCUAGUGAUCCGGCGGCCCCGAGUGGGUGGGCCGUCGCUCAACGGAUAAAAGGUACUCCGGGGAUAACAGGCUGAUCUUGCCCAAGAGUCCACAUCGACGGCAAGGUUUGGCACCUCGAUGUCGGCUCAUCGCAUCCUGGGGCUGGAGCAGGUCCCAAGGGUACGGCUGUUCGCCGUUUAAAGCGGUACGCGAGCUGGGUUCAGAACGUCGUGAGACAGUUCGGUCCCUAUC